AGAGUUUGAUCCUGGCUCAGAGUGAACGCUGGCGGCAUGCCUAACACAUGCAAGUCGAACGGCAGCACAGCAGUAGCAAUACUGUGGGUGGCGAGUGGCGGACGGGUGAGGAACACAUCGGAAUUUGCCCAGUCGUGGGGGAUAACGUAGGGAAACUUACGCUAAUACCGCAUACGACCUUACGGUGAAAGCGGGGGAUCGCAAGACCUCGCGCGGAUGGAUGAGCCGAUGUCGCAUUAGCUAGUUGGUGGGGUAAAGGCCUACCAAGGCGACGAUCCGUAGCUGGUCUGAGAGGAUGAUCAGCCACACUGGGACUGAGACACGGCCCAGACUCCUACGGGAGGCAGCAGUGGGGAAUAUUGGACAAUGGGGGCAACCCUGAUCCAGCAAUGCCGCGUGUGUGAAGAAGGCCUUCGGGUUGUAAAGCACUUUUAUCCGGAACGAAACGUGCGGGGUGAAUAGCCUCGUAAACUGACGGUACCGGAGGAAUAAGCACCGGCUAACUUCGUGCCAGCAGCCGCGGUAUACCAAAGGGGGCAAGCGUUACUCGGAAUUACUGGGCGUUCUCGGGUGCGGAGGUGGUUUUUUAAGGUCUUGAAAUCCCAGAGGCUCAACCUGGGAAUGGCGGUGGAUACUGGAAAGCUGGUUUGCGGUAGAGGGUAGUGGAAUUCCCGGUGUAGCAGUGAAAUGCGUAGAGAUCGGGAGGAACACCAGUGGCGAAGGCGGCUACCUGGACCAGCACUGACACUGAGGCACGAAAGCGUGGGGAGCAAACAGGAUUAGAUACCCUGGUAGUCCACGCCCUAAACGAUGUCAACUGGUUGUUGGGUCUUAACUGACUCAGUAACGAAGCUAACGCGUGAAGUUGACCGCCUGGGGAGUACGGCCGCAAGGUUGAAACGCGCACCCCCCCGACGGGGACCCGCACAAGCGGUGGAUGAUGUGGUUUAAUUCGACGCAACGCGAAGAACCUUAACAGGCCUUGACAUCCCGUGCAAAGGUAUAGAGAUAUACCGAAGGUUACCAAGGUGACAGGUGGUGCAUGGUUGUCGUCAGCUCGUGUCGUGAGAUGUUGGGUUAAGUCCCGCAACGAGCGCAACCCUUGUCUUCAGUUACCAAUAUCAAGUUAGGGACUCUGGAGAGACUGCCGGUGAUAAACCGGGAGGAAGGGUGGGGGAUGACGUCAAGUCCUCAUGGCCCUUUACGGGCUGGGCUACACACGUACUACAAUGGGCGAAUACAAAGGGAAGCAAGCGUGCGAACGCAAGCGGAUCCUAUAAAAUUCGUCUCAGUUCAGAUUGCACUCUGCAACUCGAGUGCAUGAAGUUGGAAUCGCUAGUAUCGCGAAUCACCAGGUCGCGGUUGAAUACGUUCCCGGGCCUUGUACCACCCCCGUCCACCCAUGGGAGUGGUUCUACUGAGGCCUUUGCUGACCGCAAGGAGCAGGUGACCACGGUAGGAUCAGUGACUGGGGUGAAGUCGUAACAAGGUAGCCGUA
rnacentral:rRNA from 1 species